CACUCCUACGGGAGGCAGCAGUGGGGAAUUUUGGACAAUGGGCGAAAGCCUGAUCCAGCAAUGCCGCGUGAGUGAAGAAGGCCUUCGGGUUGUAAAGCUCUUUUGUCAGGGAAGAAACGGUGAGAGCUAAUAUCUUUUGCUAAUGACGGUACCUGAAGAAUAAGCACCGGCUAACUACGUGCCAGCAGCCGCGGUAAUACGUAGGGUGCAAGCGUUAAUCGGAAUUACUGGGCGUAAAGCGUGCGCAGGCGGUUUUGUAAGUCUGAUGUGAAAUCCCCGGGCUCAACCUGGGAAUUGCAUUGGAGACUGCAAGGCUAGAAUCUGGCAGAGGGGGGUAGAAUUCCACGUGUAGCAGUGAAAUGCGUAGAUAUGUGGAGGAACACCGAUGGCGAAGGCAGCCCCCUGGGUCAAGAUUGACGCUCAUGCACGAAAGCGUGGGGAGCAAACAGGAUUAGAAACCCCGGUAGUCCCAUG
rnacentral:rRNA from 1 species